CCUACGGGAGGCUGCAGUGGGGAAUAUUGGACAAUGGGGGGAACCCUGAUCCAGCCAUGCCGCGUGUGUGAAGAAGGCCCUCGGGUUGUAAAGCACUUUCAGUGAGGAAGAACGCCUGGUGGUUAAUACCCAUCAGGAAUGACAUCACUCACAGAAGAAGCACCGGCUAACUCCGUGCCAGCAGCCGCGGUAAUACGGAGGGUGCGAGCGUUAAUCGGAAUUACUGGGCGUAAAGCGCGCGUAGGUGGCUUGAUAAGCCGGUUGUGAAAGCCCCGGGCUCAACCUGGGAACGGCAUCCGGAACUGUCAAGCUAGAGUGCAGGAGAGGAAGGUAGAAUUCCCGGUGUAGCGGUGAAAUGCGUAGAGAUCGGGAGGAAUACCAGUGGCGAAGGCGACCUUCUGGACUGACACUGACACUGAGGUGCGAAAGCGUGGGUAGCAAACAGGAUUAGAUACCCGUGUAGUC
rnacentral:rRNA from 1 species